rnacentral:snRNA from 1 species
AAGAAUUUAUAAGAAAACCCUUU